CCUACGGGAGGCAGCAGUGGGGGAUAUUGGGCAAUGGGCGCAAGCCUGACCCAGCAACGCCGCGUGUAGGAAGAAGGCUUUCGGGUUGUAAACUUCUUUUCUGCGGGACGAAGAAAGUGACGGUACCUCAGGAAUAAGCCACGGCUAACUACGUGCCAGCAGCCGCGGUAAUACGUAGGUGGCAAGCGUUAUCCGGAUUUAUUGGGUGUAAAGGGCGUGUAGGCGGGAAAGCAAGUCUGAUGUGAAAACCCAGGGCUCAACCCUGAGCCCGCAUUUGAAACUGUUUUUCUUGAGUGCUGGAGAGGCAAUCGGAAUUCCGGGUGUAGCGGUGAAAUGCGUAGAUAUAAGGAGGAACACCAGUGGCGAAGGCGGAUUGCUGGACAGUAACUGACGCUGAGGCGCGAAAGCGUGGGGAGCAAACAGGAUUAGAUACCCUUGUAGUC
rnacentral:rRNA from 1 species